rfam:Burkholderia sp. MR1 ctg66, whole genome shotgun sequence.
CCGCCCUUAGCUCAGUUGGAUAGAGCAACGGCCUUCUAAGCCGUAGGUCACACGUUCGAAUCGUGUAGGGCGGG